GCGCAUUUCCAUCGCCUCCAUCGCCGCUGUAGCUGGUGGCUGUCAGAUUGGACAGCACGGUAGAGGCGGGUCAGGAAAUGCAAGGAGAGCACUUUUGGAAGCGUCUGGAUCCUGGGCCCUCGGGGAGGGCAGGGCCUGGGUCCUGAUGUGAGGAGCCUGGAGCCUGUCCGUGGCCGAGAGGGCCUCCUUCCUCCUUCCUGGCCGACACGUCACCUGCUCCGUCCAGUCCACGAGAAGCAGCUGUGGCCCAAGCCCAUGACCUGCCUUUCUUCCCCAGCGUCACCAUCUGUGGCAGCCUGGGAUACGCAUGAGCUCCUCAGGAGGGCGGAGCUCCGUGGAACACACAUCUGGAUGACAGGAGGGAGCCAGGAGCUGUGAGAAGACGGGGGAGCUGCCGCCGCAAGAAUGCAAGACCCACGGGCUCUACGAUGCGGGGGAGCAGCGGGCAUCUGAGGAAGGGGCGUCAGGGGCACAUGGCCAGCCCUCUUCACCCCACAGUCUGCCCCAGGCCAGCCCCACUAGGAGUGACCCAUUUUCUCCUAGCAGGAUUCCUUGCAUGGGGUGGCCUGGACCCAAAACACCCGCUCUGAGGAUUCCCUGUUAACCACAGAGAAGGUUGACUCAAGUUUCUUUAUUUGGCCAUGAAACUGUGGGGCAUCUCACGGUGCUUCUUGGGUCCACUGGAGAGCCCUGGAAGCUCAGAAGAGGCAAGAGGGGCCUACUUCUCCCUUGUUUGGGCUUUGUUUGCUAAAUACCAAUAUUAGAUUAGGCAACUCUGCAAACAAAACCAAGGCCUGGCCAGCUGCCCAGGGUGUUUAAAGUCCAAGACAUGAAGGCAGGACGUGUGCCCGUGGACUUGCACACGCAAGCAGGCCGAGGGGAGAGCAGCCCGGCAGAGACCUUGGUGGUCCAGGGCUGAGCAAAGGCUUCCCCCACCGGUCCAUCCCAGUGCGCUCAGCACAGGAGUUAGCGGCCACACACUUCAACCAUUGUCUUAUUUUAGAAAAUGACAUCUGCUGGGCGCGGUGACUCACGCCUGUAAUCCCAGCAUUUUGAGAGGGCAAGGUCAGGAGUGAUCACUUUGGGUGGACCACGAGGUCAGGAGUUCAAGAUCAGCCUGGCCAACAUGGUGAAACUCCGUCUCUACUCAAAAUACAAAAAUUAGCCAGG
rnacentral:lncRNA from 10 species